GGGCCAAAAAGGGCCCAAAUAAGCAUUAUUCUUGGUUUUCGCACAAUAACUUUAGUAUAAGUAAAUAGAAAUCAAUGAAAUUUUAGCACAAGGUUUAUGACCACAAAAGGAAGGUUGGGAUUGAUUUUUGGAGUAGAGGUCACAACAGUUUAUGAAUUAGGGGCCAAAAAGGGGCCCUAUUAAGCAUUAUUUUUGGUUUUUGCACCAUAACUUUAGUAUAAGUAAAUAGAAAUCUAUGAAAUUUAAACACAAGGUUUAUGACCAUAAAAGGAAGGUUGGG
rnacentral:lncRNA from 1 species